rnacentral:misc_RNA from 1 species
GAUGAAGAACGUAGCGAAAUGCGAUACGUAAUGUGAAUUGCAGAAUUCAGUGAAUCAUCGAGUCUUUGAACACACAUUGCGCCCCCUGGUAUUCCGGGGGGCAUGCCUGUCCGAGCGUCAUUGCUGCCCUCAAGCACGGCUUGUGUGUUGGGCCUCCGUCCUCCUCCCGGGGGACGGGCCCGAAAGGCAGCGGCGGCACCGCGUCCGGUCCUCGAGCGUAUGGGGCUUCGUCACCCGCUCUUGUAGGCCCGGCCGGCGCUUGCCGACACAUCAAUCUUUUUUCCAGGUUGACCUCGGAUCAGGUAGGGAUACCCGCUGAACUUAAGCAUAUCAAUAAGCGGAGG